AUAGCGUAUAUUAAAGUUGUUGCAGUUAAAAAGCUCGUAGUUGAACUUCUGUACGUGCCCGGUUCUGGCUUCGGUCAAGCUUUGGUGCGUGCAUCCGCUUGCAAACUUGGCCCGGCCUUUACUGGUCGACCAAGGGAGUAGGCCUUUUACUUUGAAAAAAUUAGAGUGUUUCAAGCAGGCAAUGGCUCGAAUACAUUAGCAUGGAAUAAUGGAAUAGGACUUUUGUCCAUUUGGUUGGUUAUUGGACAUGAGUAAUGAUUAAAAGGGACAGUUGGGGGCAUUAGUAUUUAAUUGUCAGAGGUGAAAUUCUUGGAUUUAUUAAAGACUAACCUAUG
rnacentral:rRNA from 1 species